GACGAACGCUGGCGGCGCGCCUAACACAUGCAAGUCGAACGGGACUAUGCGAGAUGAAGUUUUCGGAUGGAAUUUUGUAUAGUUUAGUGGCGGACGGGUGAGUAACACGUGAGCAACCUGCCUUCGAGAGGGGAAUAACGGCUGGAAACGGUCGCUAAUACCGCAUAACAUACAGGAGGGACAUCCCUUUUGUAUCAAAGAUUUAUCGCUCGAAGAUGGGCUCGCGUCCGAUUAGGUAGUUGGUGAGGUAACGGCCCACCAAGCCGACGAUCGGUAGCCGGACUGAGAGGUUGAACGGCCACAUUGGGACUGAGACACGGCCCAGACUCCUACGGGAGGCAGCAGUGGGGGAUAUUGCACAAUGGGGGAAACCCUGAUGCAGCGACGCCGCGUGUAGGAAGACGGUCCUUUGGAUCGUAAACUACUGUCCCCAGGGACGAAGAUGACGGUACC
rnacentral:rRNA from 1 species